rnacentral:rRNA from 1 species
UCGUGUCGUGAGAUGUUGGGUUAAGUCCCGCAACGAGCGCAACCCUCACCUCUUGUUGCCAAUAGGUCAUGCUGGGCACUCUAGAGGAACUGCCCCGGUCAACGGGGAGGAAGGCGGGGAUGACGUCAAGUCGUCAUGCCCCUUACGUCCUGGGCUACACACGUGCUACAAUGGCCAGUACAAAGGGAUGCGAGACCGCGAGGUGGAGCUAAUCCCAAAAAGCUGGUCUAAGUUCAGAUUGCAGUCUGCAACUCGACUGCAUGAAGGAGGAAUCGCUAGUAAUCGC